rnacentral:tRNA from 1 species
GGGCGCGUAGCUCAGGGGUAGAGCACUCGCCUUACAAGCGAGGAGCCGGCGGUUCGAAACCGCCCGCGCCCA